rnacentral:rRNA from 1 species
CUAAGCCGAGGCCGAAAGGCGUAGGUGAUGGACAACAGGUUGAUAUUCCUGUACCACCAAUAACCGUUUGAGAAAUGGGAUGACACAGUAGGAUAAGCUAACCGCACUGUUGGUUAUGUGCGGGCAAGUAUUGAGGCAGUUCCGAUAGGCAAAUCCGUCGGAAUAAUGCUGGGGUACGAUGCGGAGCGAAAUUUAGUAGCGAAGUAGCUGAUUUCACACUGUCGAGAAAAGUCUCUAUCGAGGUUAAAGGUGCCUGUACCGCAAACCGACACAGGUGGGUGAGGAGAGUAUCCUAAGGCCAGCGAGAGAACUGUUGUUAAGGAACUCGGCAAAAUGACCCCGUAACUUCGGGAGAAGGGGUGCCUUCGAAAGAAGGCCGCAGAGAAUAGGCCCAAGCGACUGUUUACCAAAAACAUAGGUUUCUGCUAAGUCGCAAGACGAUGUAUAGGAGCUGACGCCUGCCCGGUGCUGGAAGGUUAAGGGGAUCUGUUAGAGCAAUCGAAGCAGUGAACUUAAGCCCCAGUAAACGGCGGCCGUAACUAUAACGGUCCUAAGGUAGCGAAAUUCCUUGUCGGGUAAGUUCCGACCCGCACGAAAGGCGUAACGAUUUGGGCACUGUCUCAACAACAGACUCGGUGAAAUUGUAAUACCGGUGAAGAUGCCGGUUACCUGCGACAGGACGGAAAGACCCCAUGGAGCUUUACUGUAGCUUGACAUUGAGUCUCGGUGCUACAUGUACAGGAUAGGUGGGAGACUAUGAAGCAUGGACGUCAGUCUGUGUGGAGUCAUCCUUGGGAUACCACCCUUGUAGUACUGGGAUUCUAACCAGAGGCCAUGAAUCUGGUCUUGGGACACUGUCAGGUGGACAGUUUGACUGGGGCGGUCGCCUCCCAAAAAGUAACGGAGGCGCUCAAAGGUUCUCUCAGUACGGUCGGAAAUCGUACGAAGAGUGUAAAGGCAAAAGAGAGCUUGAUUGCAAGACAUACAGGUCGAGCAAGGACGAAAGUCGGACUUAGUGAUCCGGUGGUUCCGCAUGGAAGGGCCAUCGCUCAACGGAUAAAAGCUACCCUGGGGAUAACAGGCUGAUCUCCCCCAAGAGUCCACAUCGACGGGGAGGUUUGGCACCUCGAUGUCGGCUCAUCACAUCCUGGGGCUGUAUUCGGUCCCAAGGGUUCGGCUGUUCGCCGAUUAAAGUGGUACGCGAGCUGGGUUCAGAACGUCGUGAGACAGUUCGGUCCCUAUCCGUCGCAGGCGUAGGAAAUUUGAGGAGACCUGUCCUUAGUACGAGAGGACCGGGAUGGACGUACCGCUGGUGUACCAGUUGUUCUGCCAAGGGCAUGGCUGGGUAGCUAAGUACGGAAAGGAUAAGCGCUGAAAGCAUCUAAGCGCGAAGCCCACUUCAAGAUAAGAUUUCCCACCGCAAGGUUAAGAUCCCAGGAAGACUACCUGGUUGAUAGGUCAGAGGUGUAAGUGCAGUAAUGUAUUUAGCUUACUGAUACUAAUAGAUCGAGGACUUGACCAA